UCUGGUGGCCAUAGCGGAGGGGAAACACCAGUUCCCAUCCCGAACACUUUGGUUAAGCCCUCCUGCGCCGAUGGUACUGCCCUGGCAACGGGGUAGGGAGAGUAGGUCGCUGCCAGGA
rnacentral:rRNA from 1 species